rnacentral:rRNA from 1 species
CAAAGCCGCCGGGGGCCCGUCGCGUCGACGCGCUUAACAUACGUCCCUACAGACGGGUGAUAACGCGUGGUGACGUACCUUUUGGUUCAGAACACGCAAGGAAACUUGUGCUCUUACCGGAUAACCCCUUACAGGGAAACAUUUAUCGCCGAAAGAUCGGCCCGAGUCUGAUUAGCUAGUUGGUGAGGUAUUGGCUCACCAAGGCGACGAUCACUAGCUGGUCUGAAAGGAUGACCAUCCACAUUGGGACUGAGACCCGGCCCAGACUCCUACGGGAGGCUGCAGUGGGGAAUAUUGGACAAUGGGGGCAACCCCGAUCCACCCCUGCCACGGGACUGAUGAAUGCCCUAGGGUUGUAAAGCUCUUUUGGGCCGGAGAAUAAUGACGGUACCCCUAGAAUAAGCCCCGGCUAACUUCGUGCUAUCAGCCCCGUUAAUACGAACGGGGCUAGCGUUGCUCGAAAUCACUGGGCGUAACAGGGUGCGUAGGCGGGUUUUUAAGUGUGGGGCGAAAUCCUGGAUCUUAACUCCUGAUCUGCCUUUGAUGCGGAAGAUCUUGAAUCCUGGAGAGGUGAUUGUAACUGCGAGUGUAGUCCUGAAAUUCGUAGAUAUUCGCGAGAGCGCCAGUGGUGAAGGCUGCUCACUGGCCCGGUACUGACUCUGACGCACGAAGGCGUGCGAAGCGAAAAGAUUACCUACUUUGGCCACCCACUCUGGAGACGCUGAAUGCCAGUCGUGAGUGGGUUACUUCUUAGCGGCGCAGCUAAGGCUUUGACCUUUCGGCCUGGGGGAGGUACGGCGGAAAGAAUUAAAGACUGAAUC